rnacentral:rRNA from 1 species
GGUUAAGCGACUAAGCGUACACGGUGGAUGCCCUGGCAGUCAGAGGCGAUGAAGGACGUGCUAAUCUGCGAAAAGCGUCGGUAAGGUGAUAUGAACCGUUACAGCCGGCGAUGUCCGAAUGGGGAAACCCAGUGCAAUUCGUUGCACUAUCGUUAACUGAAUACAUAGGUUAACGAGGCGAACCGGGGGAACUGAAACAUCUAAGUACCCCGAGGAAAAGAAAUCAACCGAGAUUCCCCCAGUAGCGGCGAGCGAACGGGGAGCAGCCCAGAGUCUGAAUCAGCUUGUGUGUUAGUGGAACGGUCUGGAAAGUCCGACGGUACAGGGUGAUAGUCCCGUACACCAAAAUGCACAGGCUGUGAACUCGAAGAGUAGGGCGGGACACGUGGUAUCCUGUCUGAAUAUGGGGGGACCAUCCUCCAAGGCUAAAUACUCCUGACUGACCGAUAGUGAACCAGUACCGUGAGGGAAAGGCGAAAAGAACCCCGGCGAGGGGAGUGAAAAAGAACCUGAAACCGUGUACGUACAAGCAGUGGGAGCACCUUCGGGUGUGACUGCGUACCUUUUGUAUAAUGGGUCAGCGACUUAUAUUCUGUAGCAAGGUUAACCGUAUAGGGGAGCCGCAGGGAAACCGAGUCUUAACUGGGCGUUAAGUUGCAGGGUAUAGACCCGAAACCCGGUGAUCUAGCCAUGGGCAGGUUGAAGGUUGGGUAACACUAACUGGAGGACCGAACCGACUAAUGUUGAAAAAUUAGCGGAUGACUUGUGGCUGGGGGUGAAAGGCCAAUCAAACCGGGAGAUAGCUGGUUCUCCCCGAAAGCUAUUUAGGUAGCGCCUCGUGAACUCAUCUUCGGGGGUAGAGCACUGUUUCGGCUAGGGGGUCAUCCCGACUUACCAACCCGAUGCAAACUACGAAUACCGAAGAAUGUUAUCACGGGAGACACACGGCGGGUGCUAACGUCCGUCGUGAAGAGGGAAACAACCCAGACCGCCAGCUAAGGUCCCAAAGUCAUGGUUAAGUGGGAAACGAUGUGGGAAGGCACAGACAGCCAGGAUGUUGGCUUAGAAGCAGCCAUCAUUUAAAGAAAGCGUAAUAGCUCACUGGUCGAGUCGGCCUGCGCGGAAGAUGUAACGGGGCUAAACCAUGCACCGAAGCUGCGGCAGCGACACUAUGUGUUGUUGGGUAGGGGAGCGUUCUGUAAGCCUGCGAAGGUGUGCUGUGAGGCAUGCUGGAGGUAUCAGAAGUGCGAAUGCUGACAUAAGUAACGAUAAAGCGGGUGAAAAGCCCGCUCGCCGGAAGACCAAGGGUUCCUGUCCAACGUUAAUCGGGGCAGGGUGAGUCGACCCCUAAGGCGAGGCCGAAAGGCGUAGUCGAUGGGAAACAGGUUAAUAUUCCUGUACUUGGUGUUACUGCGAAGGGGGGACGGAGAAGGCUAUGUUAGCCGGGCGACGGUUGUCCCGGUUUAAGCAUGUAGGCUGAUUGUCCAGGCAAAUCCGGAUAAUCAAGGCUGAGGUGUGAUGACGAGGCACUACGGUGCUGAAGUAACAAAUGCCCUGCUUCCAGGAAAAGCCUCUAAGCAUCAGGUAACAUCAAAUCGUACCCCAAACCGACACAGGUGGUCAGGUAGAGAAUACCAAGGCGCUUGAGAGAACUCGGGUGAAGGAACUAGGCAAAAUGGUGCCGUAACUUCGGGAGAAGGCACGCUGGUGUGUAGGUGAAGUCCCUGCGGAUGGAGCUGAGACCAGUCGAAGAUACCAGCUGGCUGCAACUGUUUAUUAAAAACACAGCACUGUGCAAACACGAAAGUGGACGUAUACGGUGUGACGCCUGCCCGGUGCCGGAAGGUUAAUUGAUGGGGUUAUCCGUAAGGAGAAGCUCUUGAUCGAAGCCCCGGUAAACGGCGGCCGUAACUAUAACGGUCCUAAGGUAGCGAAAUUCCUUGUCGGGUAAGUUCCGACCUGCACGAAUGGCGUAAUGAUGGCCAGGCUGUCUCCACCCGAGACUCAGUGAAAUUGAACUCGCUGUGAAGAUGCAGUGUACCCGCGGCAAGACGGAAAGACCCCGUGAACCUUUACUAUAGCUUGACACUGAACAUUGAGCCUUGAUGUGUAGGAUAGGUGGGAGGCUUUGAAGCGUGGACGCCAGUCUGCGUGGAGCCAACCUUGAAAUACCACCCUUUAAUGUUUGAUGUUCUAACGUUGGCCCCUUACCGGGGUUGCGGACAGUGUCUGGUGGGUAGUUUGACUGGGGCGGUCUCCUCCCAAAGCGUAACGGAGGAGCACGAAGGUUAGCUAAUCCUGGUCGGACAUCAGGAGGUUAGUGCAAUGGCAUAAGCUAGCUUGACUGCGAGCGUGACGGCGCGAGCAGGUGCGAAAGCAGGUCAUAGUGAUCCGGUGGUUCUGAAUGGAAGGGCCAUCGCUCAACGGAUAAAAGGUACUCCGGGGAUAACAGGCUGAUACCGCCCAAGAGUUCAUAUCGACGGCGGUGUUUGGCACCUCGAUGUCGGCUCAUCACAUCCUGGGGCUGAAGUAGGUCCCAAGGGUAUGGCUGUUCGCCAUUUAAAGUGGUACGCGAGCUGGGUUUAGAACGUCGUGAGACAGUUCGGUCCCUAUCUGCCGUGGGCGCUGGAGAAUUGAGGGGGGCUGCUCCUAGUACGAGAGGACCGGAGUGGACGCAUCACUGGUGUUCGGGUUGUCAUGCCAAUGGCACUGCCCGGUAGCUAAAUGCGGAAGAGAUAAGUGCUGAAAGCAUCUAAGCACGAAACUUGCCCCGAGAUGAGUUCUCCCUGAGACUUUAAGUCUCCUGAAGGAACGUUAAAGACGAUGACGUUGAUAGGCCGGGUGUGUAAGCGCAGCGAUGCGUUGAGCUAACCGGUACUAAUGAACCGUGAGGCUUAACCUU